GGAGUUGUGGCUCAGUGGUAGAGCAUUUGUCUACCACAUGUGAGGCCCUGGGUUCAAUUCUCAGCACUGCA
rnacentral:tRNA from 1 species